rnacentral:rRNA from 1 species
UACAGAGGGGGCAAGCGUUGUUCGGAAUUACUGGGCGUAAAGGGCGCGUAGGCGGCCUUCUAAGUCGAACGUGAAAUCCCCGGGCUCAACCCGGGAACUGCGUCCGAGACUGAAAGGCUUGAAUCCGGGAGAGGGAUGUGGAAUUCCAGGUGUAGCGGUGAAAUGCGUAGAUAUCUGGAGGAACACCGGUGGCGAAGGCGGCAUCCUGGACCGGCAUUGACGCUGAGGCGCGAAAGCUAGGGGAGCAAACGGG